rnacentral:lncRNA from 1 species
GGAGAGAGUAGAGGAGGAGGCACGUGAAAAAUACAGAAGAAAAGAAAAGAAAAGAAAAGAAAGCUCUCACAUGAAAACCCUAAAAACUGCAGUUCUCCCUCCUCCACCAAAGCAAACACACGUCUGACCACCAACAUCAUCCCUUUCUUCUCUUUUCAUCGCCACUUGCAUCGCCCAGAUCUGACCUUUGACAAGCUGCCAUGCGCGCGAGUAUGGUUCCGGUUGUUUAGUAUACUCUCAGGUUAUACCUUUGUAUUUUCCCUUAAUUAAUUUAUUCUGUAUUUAUAGAUUUGUCUCAAACUUGUUAAUUAUUACAAUUAGAUCCUUUUGUGAUUUAAUUCAAAUUUAAUUGGCAAUAAAUUGAAAUUUUUGUUCCUAUUUUUUUUAAUUUCAAAUUUGUGUGAUAUCUAAUCAUGAUCUACAAAAAGAAUUGGACAAUAAUUUAUCUAGGCAUGGACUAAAUUAAAAAGGGCAUAAACUAUCUUAUUUUAGGUUAAUAUAUUUUAGGUUUAAAUUAUCUUAUUUUUUUAAAAAAAUAGAUCUGAAUUGUAAAUAAUUAAUAUGGCAUAACAUUUUACAUGGAUUUUUUUUUAGUCAUAUUUUGUAAAUGACAUAAUUCACAAGAAUAAAUAUAGAUGAUUUUCCUAUAACUUUUUUUUUUAAGAACACGUUAAAAACUAAUUCAUGUCAAAUAUUAUGUCAUAUUAAUUAUUCACAAUUCAAAUUUAUUUAUUUUUAAAUAAAAAGCCUAAAUCUAAAUGUAUUAACAAGAUAAAAAAUUUUACACCUUUAAAUUUAAUCCAUUUCUAAAUAAAAUCUUGCUGUUAUUAAUUUUUCAAAUUAUAAUUAGAUAUCAUACAAACUUGAAAUUAGAUAUCAUAUAUAAUUAUGAAAUUAGAUAUCAUAAUUAUAUUCUGAACUUUUCCCUUUUAUUUUUUUUUUCUUUAGAUUUUUCUACUACAAAAACCGUGUAAUUUUUUAAUCCUUAAAAACUAUAUUUUUCAAGCCCUAUUUUUCAAUAUGGGUAAAAAUAGGCAAUGGCAACCACCCUCCUACAAUUGCAAUUUCAAGGCACCAUGUUAGUUUCUCAUGCUGUAUGUUUUGAGUACAGAGAUUGGAACUUAGAACCAGAGGCCAGCUGCUUGAGCUUUAAUCAUGUCAAGAACAAGAUUUUCUAUUCAGAUUAUAUAAAGCAAACAAAUGCAGUUUAUGAUCAAGGAGGAUUUAAGAGUGUGAUAGCG